CAUUAAACCUAUACAACUUUCAGCAACGGAUCUCUUGGCUCUCCCAUCGAUGAAGAACGCAGCGAAAUGCGAUAAGUAAUGUGAAUUGCAGAAUUCAGUGAAUCAUCGAAUCUUUGAACGCACCUUGCGCCCUUUGGUAUUCCGAAGGGCAUGCCUGUUUGAGUGUCAUUAAAUUAUCAACCUUGUUCGCUUUUACGAGCUUGAGCGAGGCUUGGAUGUGAGGGCUUGCUGGCUUCCUUCAGUGGAUGGUCUGCUCCCUUUAAAUGCAUUAGUGGGAUCUCUUGUGGACCGUCACUUGGUGUGAUAAUUAUCUAUGCCAUUUGACUGUGAAGCAAAAUUAUGGGAACCUGCUUAUAACCGUCUCGCAAGGGACAAUUUAAUUGACUAUUUG
rnacentral:rRNA from 1 species